ACUCAAAUGAAUAGACGGGGGCCCGCACAAGCGGUGGAGCAUGUGGUUCAAUUCGAAGCAACGCGCAGAACCUUACCAGCUUUUGACAUGUCCGGUAUGACCUUCAGAGAUGAGGGUCUUCAGUUCGGCUGGCCGGAACACAGGUGCUGCAUGGCUGUCGUCAGCUCGUGUCGUGAGAUGUUGGGUUAAGUCCCGCAACGAGCGCAACCCUCGUCCUUAGUUGCCAUCAUUUAGUUGGGCACUCUAAGGAGACUGCCGGUGAUAAGCCGGAGGAAGGUGGGGAUGACGUCAAGUCCUCAUGGCCCUUACAGGCUGGGCUACACACGUGCUACAAUGGCGGUGACAGUGGGCAGCUAACUCGCAAGAGUAUGCUAAUCUCAAAAAACCGUCUCAGUUCGGAUUGUGCUCUGCAACUCGAGCACAUGAAGCUGGAAUCGCUAGUAAUCGUGGAUCAGAACGCCACGGUGAAUACGUUCCCGGGCCUUGCACACACCGCCCGU
rnacentral:rRNA from 1 species